UCGGAAAACGUUCUUAGCUGCAGAGGAAGCAAAGAGAGGGAAAAAGUCAGAAAAACAAAACAAAAACACACACACCAUUCCUUGGCCAGAGGAUCGUCUUUUUGGAACUGGCAUCUGCAUGAACCCUGAGGUGAAGCGGAAACCGUCAUGUACAAAGUGGGACGAAUGAACAGCAGACCUGAAGGACAGAGAAGGCGCUCUUCUGAUGGACGUCCAGCGUCUCUGACCACAGAGUGCUGUUCCUGCGUUUGGUGGGAGUCGGAGCCGGGG